rnacentral:lncRNA from 1 species
AUUUUCUUUUUCUUCCCAGAGAAAACCAUCAGCCCACCUGGCGAUUGCAUCUCCGCUCGUGGUCGGUACCGCCCUGCACGGGCUCACGCGGGAGGAACUCUUGAUGGCAGUAUGGCACGGAGGACGAGGAGCCUCCAGACUUGCCGCCCGCCGCUGUCGGCCUUCCAAUCCAAUCCCUCCAGAUCUGUCGCCAAGGAGACCCCUAACCAUAGAGGCCAUGGAGGAGGUGUCGGAUCUCGCCGAGUUUAUGCGCCAGGCGGUGUCACUUCUAGCCGACGAUGACCCCUCCGACAACGCCGUGCUGAGCCACCCCACCACCUUCCUCAACGAGGCGCCGUGCCGUGGUGCCGUGUACAUGAGUAGAUUGGCUCAGAUGUGCCUUUGCACUAACAUUUGUUUCCACUAUUUAGUAAUUUGACCAUCAAUUGAUAAUUUUUCUCUAAACAGAUUUUGUUGCCUCUGAAAUAAACAACUGUGCUCUGUUGCAAGAAGGAAUUGUUUCGAUACUAAAAGGGAAAGGUAAAUUCUGCAAGCAUCUGAGUUAGUUUCAAGUUAUUUUGUUGUAUAUCAAGAUCCUUCUAUAAGUUUCGGUUUCACGAGGGAUCUCCACAUGCCGCGGUGAAAAUAAAAUGAGUUAGUUUCAGCAGUUUGUUCUCCAUCUAAAGAGUACCUCUUGAAAGAAAGCCUAACAAUAGCUGAUUUCUUCUUUUGGCCCCUUGUUCUCCAACUAAUAAUAUAUUGUCAUUUUGCUUUGUGCAGGUUGUACCGGUUAGCUUGCGAGAUAUGCUGAUUAGGUAAUCUUUGUUGACCUUCCCCUUUUAACCAAACCACACUUGAAUUCCUGAUCUAAGCAGUAGCUACCAUUCCACUACUUCCAUUUCAGUCGUCAUCUGUGCUUGUGUUGAGUCUAUUUGGAGGCUAGGCUACCACCCUGUGACUAGAGCAUUACCCUUGUGACUAUCAGGUGAUGGCUUGGUGGAAAGUCAUGCUUGGACAGGAAGGGAGUGGCAAUUGCCUUUUGCACAACAAAAAAACAGUUUUUAGUCAACGAAAGAUUGUUCCUAACCAUCCUUGUACUGAACUUUCUCAACCUGACAUGUGAUUGCAGCUGAUGUCAAUCAUUUGCCUAUUCUCGGUUGAUAUUAGAGAAUGAAUAGGAUUCCACCAUUCUUGUAUUGCAGUUAAUUUGACCUUAAGGCAUGGAUACUAUUUUUUGGCCUGAAACAAUUAUACUGCCUUCUUUCCUGCAAUGUAAUUUGGUUGAGUUUGUAUAUAUUUGAGUUCUAAUUUGUAUACGUAGCAUUAGCAAGGGCAGUUGUGCAGGAAAAAAACUUGGAUUUCCUUUUUAAUCCGUUGUUCUGUGUCAUUGAAUACUAUAUUAAGAUGGCUAGAAACAUCAAUUUUGUACACUAGAGUAAUAAUGUUAAGAAGAUCGUUUCCAUUCUUGAGAGUCAUGAAUUAGCUUCUAUGCUUUGGAAUGGUAUUUUGUAUUUACUAAAUUUAUUUUAAAGGUAACUUGUUUAUUAUAAAUGGUUGGAUUCUGUUUAAUAAAAUAAAAUAGGUAUAAAUUCAUAAAUAUAGUUGAAAAGAAACUUGAAACAACAUGCAUCAGAUAUGCUCCCUCAGUUCUAAGUUAUUGUUACUGUGACCAUAUACCAAAGGAAAUAAUUUUUUUUCAAAAUUCUCUUUGUUAAUACCUCAAUCUGGGUAUUCCCACACAAUAUUCGCUUUUCUCCAUUUGUUUAGAAAAAAAUCUAUUAUUGGUUUAACCGUAGCGUUAGCACGGGCACGCUACUGGUACAUUAAAUUACCUUAAAAUUUUCUUCUAACAUUCCUGGACGUGAAGUCAUCGAUGAUGGUUUCAAUAUCAAUCUCAUCCAAAUUUAAGAAUCGUGUGAGAAAUAAUUAGUAACUAAAUUUAAGAAUCCACAUCCAUACCUUGCCGUAGGCUAGAGCAUGCUGGAACGGCUGAUUGC